UUAAGGUAAGGCAGCCAAACGG
rnacentral:misc_RNA from 1 species